UAUAGAAAGGGGUAUAGGUGUAAGUGCUACUCCAAGAUUUGGACAAGAUGUUGCAGAUAAUCAUGGGGAGGAGUCUCGUGAAGGAGCUGGUCCUCUAUUCAUGAAGCCGAUGCUGCAUUUUGAUAAGUUGUGUGAAAUUUAUGCUAGUGAUUUGGCUAAAGGAAGGAAUGCUAAAGGUCCUGGAGAUCAACAGCGGGUAGAAGGUUUUGUAGCUGUAGAUGAUGAUGAUGAUCCUGUCAACCAUGUUGUUGAUAAAGCCAAUGCUCAAAAACAUGGUACUGAAAAUCCAACUGCCCCAAAAGGACGUAAGAGGGUUUUUGCUGAUGUUGAUUCUCUUGAGACAAGCUUUUGCAAUGUGUCCAAUUCCUUUGCUAAGUUCCUGGAAGCAGAAAAGGACAAUGGCAUACAACUAGCGAUGAUGAAUAGAGUUGAUGUUCAGGAGGAUACUAAAAAAACCAAGUUAUUUGAUGCAAUCAAGAAAUUGCCAAACUUUUCCAUUGAAGAGGUUGUCAUGGCUGUUCGCAUAAUUGGUAGAGAUGCUGGAAAUAUUGAUCUUUUCUUAGCGAUGUCUCCUGACUACCAGGUGGUAUUUGUUCGCCAGGAGCUUGCUGAGGCGGCAAAAGGAAAUUAGAUGCAUGUUUUGACUUUUAACUUAAAA
rnacentral:lncRNA from 1 species